AAUUACUUAAACCUAAACAACAAUUGAUGGAUUAUAUCACAUAACAUAUAAAAUCCUCCCCACAAUUAAUAUGUACAUUGCCCUAAAUGUACAAACAAAUAUAAUCACAGAAUAAGCACAAUAUUAUAAGGGAGGGAGAGAACUAAAACAACCCUGAAUUUGGAUGAUUUCAUUAGAAUAGUGAAUUUUGGAAUCGUAGGAGAUUCUAAAUGAAGUACAUGUUCCGUGCACACUAAUAAGAAUAUAGAAAAAAAUAAGAUAAAGAGAUAACAAAAUAGAAAAAUAACCGACAAAAUAAUAAAAAAUAAAGUUUAGAAUAAAAACAAAACAAAACAUAUAAGUAUCAAAAAUAAAAUAAAAACAACUAAAAUAAUAACAGUACAACUAAAAAUAAAAAUAAAUAAAACUGAAAAUUAAAUAAAGUCAAUGAUCAACAUCGUGCAAUGUGUCAAAGUCACGAGGCUCAGAAUCGAGUGGAGAAAUAUGGAAAUGCUGGCACAUCUGUUGUAGGUAUGCUUUAAGGUGAUCCUGAUGGCUUUGAAGCUGGCCGAAUUGCUCCAAAUGUAAUUGCUCAAGGUGAUCUAUUCGCUCUGUUUAUCACUGCUUAAGGUGGUCAACCCAAUUAGAGUGUUGUUGUUGUAUACGAUAGAUGUCGUCAAGUGUGACUGAAUGUGCAGCAGUGGAAUGACUAGGAGGAGGAGAAGAUUGAGUAGGGUCCAUAAGUCAAAGAGGACCAUUAUCCAUGAUCUCUUCAUGUUCAUCCUGAGGGUCCCGAUGAAACAGUGUAUAUCGUUGGAGACCUGCUCUAUGUUGACAUUAUUUCAUCCUCACGUGCCUCAUAAUAGAUAAUCCUUGCGGGAUCAUCUAACCAACUAAGGUGAAUGAGGAAGUCUGCUCCAGAAAGUCAAGCAACCCAAAAUAUCUCGCCAGUGGAGUCAAAUAAGGACGCAUACAGAUACGACCCUUCUUGCUCUGAUUGGACUAGUGCCGACAACAUAAAGCCACGAAGUAGGUGACAUCAAUAGGAUGACGCAUCUCCAUACUCUACAGAAAAUAAGCCUUCGAUGUACUAACGACCUUUGUGUUUUCCCUCUGACCACUCAAUGUAUGGGUCUGGAUGACAUGAAUAUAGCACAAGGCUAGAGGUAAACAAGUUGCCUUUGACUAGCUAAGGUUGUACAAUGCCUCAGCCUCGGCGAUCUUAGACCAACAGAGUGGAGUUGGUCGAUUGAUGUGUUUGGGCAGUGCUAGAAACUUAGGGUUAUGCAUGAACUCCUUGAAAUAAAGUCCAAGAGCGGCUCCGAAGCCUGGGAUGCUUAAGUAACGUGUCUUACCCUCAAGUUUGAAAGAAAUGGUACAAGGCUCAUCCUAAUAUGAAAUUGUUAGUUGUAGAAAGAACGUCAAGCAGAAAUCUAUUAUGAGUUCUACAUAUGUGGGCUCUACAAUGGUCAAAAAUCAAUCCCACGAUGUUGUGUCAAUCAGAACUCGAAGUCUGGCAGCUAAAUGAACUGCAUACAAGGCUUUCUAAUUAAUGCAACAACCUAAUCCCAAAGGUGGCUCCCUAAGAUGUUGAUAAUUGUCCUCAUGUGGACCUAGAGGAAAUUAGAGACACGAAUGUCUCGUGGCUAUAGUCUGGGCUGAAGACGAAGUGGCACUUGGUGUCUUUCAUUGUUUAGAGACGAGGGCAGCAGCCUUGGUUUUACCUCUAGUGUUUGUCUUUAUGUAUCUAAAAGAAAAGAUAACAACCAAAUAUCAUAUAACCAAAAAAAUCAACACCACCACUAAUUUAGCAGAUGAAAAAAGUCAAAUUACAUAACCAGAAGAAUCGACAAAAAUAUCAUCUCAUGACAAAAGUCGGAUCACAUAACUAAUAUAACUAACAUCUAUUCCUCAUACGAAAACUAAAACUAAUACUUAGCAGACAAAAAAAUAACUAAACUAAACUAAUUAUUUAACACUAAUACUAUGAAUAUUAAUACUACUACUAAUAAUAAAAUAAUAAAUAAAAUAAAAAGAAGAUGAAUAGUGACAACCAGUGGUUUAGGGCAGACGGUGGCGGCAGUAGCUCGUACGAUAGUAGUAGGAAGAAUGAUAGAUAGUGAGAAAUGGGUAGAUCAGAUGGUUGUGGAUGUGGUGAUGGAGUGAGAACAGUGGUCGGUUAGGAGGGAUGAGAGACGGAGGACGAAAAGAAAGGGGGAAAUAGGGACGGCAACGUGGAGAGAAAGAAUGGGAAAAAGGGGAAGAAAAAGAGGGAUCUGACAAGUUUGUGAAGGAAAAUAGAAGGUUAAGUGAGUAAGAAAGGAGAAGGGUUGGGGAAGAAGGGUUGAGGAGCCUAGAAAAGGGGGUGUCUGUAGUGUUCGAGUUUUCAGCGAGAAAAAUUUAAGGAAAGGACGUGGAUGAAGAGAGCUUGAUGGUGUUGAUAGUAGGGCUUGGAAGUGAAUGGAUGAGCUAUGGAGGUGACGUGGAUGACGGUUAUGAGGGGAAGAAAUCGGUGGUGAUGGAACGGCUGGUAAGGUUGAAUGGAGUUGGUGAAACAGCGUGGAAGGAGAGAGGACAAAAAAUUAAGGUUUUUAGAUUUUAAAGGUAGGCACGGUCAUGUAUUUGGCCUGUGUUGGGCCACAC
rnacentral:lncRNA from 1 species